GCGGAUGUGGUGGAAUGGUAGACACGCUACCUUGAGGUGGUAGUGCCAGAAAUGGUGUGAAGGUUCGACUCCUUUCAUCCGCACAA
rnacentral:tRNA from 2 species